GGGCCCGCACAAGCGGAGGAACAUGUGGUUUAAUUCGAUGAUACGCGAGGAACCUUACCCGGGCUUGAAAUGCAUCUGACAGUUUUGGAAACAGAACUUCCUUCGGGCAGAUGUGUAGGUGCUGCAUGGUUGUCGUCAGCUCGUGCCGUGAGGUGUCGGCUUAAGUGCCAUAACGAGCGCAACCCUUGUCAUUAGUUGCUAACAGGUCAAGCUGCGGACUCUAAUGAGACUGCCACCGUAAGGUGUGAGGAAGGGGGGGAUGACGUCAAAUCAGCACGGCCCUUAUGUCCGGGGCGACACACGUGUUACAAUGGGGGGUACAACGGGUUGCUACCGCGCGAGCGGAUGCUAAUCUCUAAAAACCCUUCUCAGUUCGGAUCGGAGUCUGCAACUCGACUUUCGUGAAGCUGGAUUCGCUAGUAAUCGCGCAUCAGCCACGGCG
rnacentral:rRNA from 1 species